CUUCACUAUCCGCUGCAGGGUCUUGCGAAACCAGUGAGGUGCAAUUUCAGAACCAGACAGUGAUGCAGCUGCUCAAGAUGCUCUCAAUAGUUCCUGUGUAGAAUGUGGUGAUCCUCACUGCCACGUCAUUCUGUGUCUCAAACCGAGCACAGAAGUUGUUCUGGAAGGGAGGCAUUACUGUCACAGGCGGGUGAUGUUGUCCUGUCGUUGCUGAACUGGAACUUUAGAACUUAGAAAAUUAGAACUGGAGUAAGAAGAAGCGGCGUCUGAUUGGAUGAUGACCUGUCGUCACUUCCGCCUGAUUUCAACGUUGUAUGCGUGAUGCAGCAAGUGUAGCGAAACAGAAACGUCGAGAAAACGCCCAAGCGAACAUCUCUCUCCUUCGUCAGCGGUUUAGUUUUUGAUUCCGCAAAACUAAAUUAUCUUUUGUUUAAGUUAUUUACUUAUUAUAAAUAACGUACUUGUUUUAGUACGCGCGUCGGUAUGUGUAUUGACGACAUGGGAACAGAAGGGAGAAAGCAGCGCGAAAGCCGCUCCAACGGGUUUAGAAGGAAGACGGGUGUUGUGGAAGCCGCUGUACGGAGGUCGUCGAGGAAGCCUGGACGUCGUUCUCACAGCUUGGCGUCGGUGAAGGAGAAGCAGAAACAUUCAGACGCGCUCCCGUCGGGAGCGAUGGCGCCGAGAAACACCACGCAGUACCUCAUGGAGCAAGUCUACAGCGACCUGAACAUUACCGCGCUGUCCCCUAAACUGACACCGGGACUUCGAGAGCGUGUUCUUUCAGAAUGAGAUCUGAAUCGACGCCAUUUUGACGGCCGCCAUCUUGGGCCGGGGAAAAAAACCAAGAAGUCCGGAAACUUGCCGGCUGAACCUGAUUAAAAUUAAACGACACGCAUGCGCAGCAGGAGGCUCGUGGCUCUGCGUCAUGUGCCGCUGUCCCGAGAGUGUAAGCCCCGCCCACGCCUGCUCAGACACAUGAGCACACAGGUAAACCUGCUCCACAAAGGUGUGUGUGUAUGCUCUAUAUUGUGUUUGUGUUCUGCUGUGCAUCUGUGUUCGAGAGACUUUUGCAGGUCUCCUGCUCCAUCGCUGAUGGCUUUCAGCUGAACUUUCUGAGCAGCGGCGGUCAGAAGGACACGAGGCCGAAAGGCUCCCAGUCUUCAGGCCUGGGUAACUCUUAUUCUGAUCACUCUUAUUGUACUCUGAUGCACUGUGAGUUCACUGUGGAGAUGUUUGAAAGGUAACCAGGCUUGUGCACUUUGUAUAUAAAUUUGUGUUUAAAGAAAAUGUAUUAAAGUUAUUUUGCUUACACUU
ensembl:lncRNA